rnacentral:rRNA from 1 species
UACCGGGUGACCGGAUGCCGAUCUCGAAAACCUGUCCCAGUUCGGACUGGAGUCUGCAACCCGACUCCACGAAGUUGGAUUCGCUAGUAAUCGCGCAUCAGCCAUGGCGCGGUGAAUACGUUCCCGGGCCUUGUACACACCGCCCGUCAAGCCAUGGGAGCCGGGGGCGCUUGAAGUGCGUCGCCGCGAGGCGCGCCCUAGAGCGAGACCGGUGACUGGGGCUAAGUCGUAACAAGGUACC